rnacentral:rRNA from 1 species
AUUGAACGCUGGCGGCAGGCCUAACACAUGCAAGUCGAGCGGUAACAGGAAGCAGCUUGCUGCUUCGCUGACGAGUGGCGGACGGGUGAGUAAUGUCUGGGAAACUGCCUGAUGGAGGGGGAUAACUACUGGAAACGGUAGCUAAUACCGCAUAACGUCGCAAGACCUAAGAGGGGGACCUUAGGGCCUCUUGCCAUCGGAUGUGCCCAGAUGGGAUUAGCUAGUAGGUGGGGUAACGGCUCACCUAGGCGACGAUCCCUAGCUGGUCUGAGAGGAUGACCAGCCACACUGGAACUGAGACACGGUCCAGACUCCUACGGGAGGCAGCAGUGGGGAAUAUUGCACAAUGGGCGCAAGCCUGAUGCAGCCAUGCCGCGUGUAUGAAGAAGGCCUUCGGGUUGUAAAGUACUUUCAGCGGGGAGGAAGGGAGUAAAGUUAAUACCUUUGCUCAUUGACGUUACCCGCAGAAGAAGCACCGGCUAACUCCGUG